UGGCAUUCUGGGAGCAUGUCUCUUGCUGUGCCAUCUCUGCCUCCCCCUAGUAAGAGCUCUGUCUUCCUCUUCCUAUAGGAAAAGAAAACCAACAGUGAAAUACACAAAGCACAGAUGGAGCAGUUAGAGGCAAUCAACAUCCUCACAUUGGAAAAGACAGACUUGAAGACCACCCUUUACCAUACUAAACGUGCUGCCCGACACUUCGAAGAAGAGUCCAAGGAUCUGGCUGGCCGCCUGCAAUACUCCUUACAGCGUAUUCAAGAAUUGGAGCGGGCUCUCUGUGCUGU
rnacentral:lncRNA from 1 species